rnacentral:misc_RNA from 1 species
UUUCCGUAGGUGAACCUGCGGAAGGAUCAUUGACACACAUCCCGUCGAACCCAGAGAACCGUUUAUGUACCGCGAGGGGCCGCGCUCGGAGGCGCGGCCGCCCGCUCCUCGCCCCCGCGCCUGAGCCGGGAGAUAGUGGGCGAGGUGCCGGGCCGGGGCCGCUCGACGGCCGCGCGGCGGGGUGACGGGAGAGGGACGCUUCCCCCCCACCCUUCGUCGCGAGGGCGUCCCCCCUCCUCCGUGCCUCACGGCACGGGGCCGCUCGAUAAACCUUCCGCCCCCCCGCGGGGCGCGGGGCGCACACAGAACAACCGACUCGGACUGAGAUGCCUCCCUCCGGGAGGAUCGAACAUACGUAGCAACGACUCUCAGCAACGGAUAUCUUGGCUCUU